rnacentral:lncRNA from 1 species
AAAACAUGUGCAAAAUUUAACAACCAUGUAAGCAUAUUUAAAUUAGGAAAAUAGCAGACAACUUGUUUCCUUUGUAAACUGCUCUGUCCAAAGCAUUCUGUGUAUUAUCAGAAUGAAAAAUGACAGCACUUUGUCAUCUGCUCAAAUUGAUACUGCACUCUUCAGGAUGACAGCUGAAAAGGCCCACAGGUGCCAUAUAAAGAGGUGACCAUGUUGUCAUAUUUCAUUUCGGCAUCCCUCUGCAAAGCCAUAAUUACCUAAUUAGGUUGUUAAUUAGGAGAUUAGCAUUUCACUAUAUUGAUAGAAUGCUCUUUACUGGUGUGGGGCUAGAUACAGAUUUGUCUGCCCUAAUUUAUAAUCUCUGCCUGUUUUGUACUUAUUUAUUUGCUUAAGAUCCUUGUGUGGAGCAAUUGAGUUUAUCUGAGGAACAGUUUGUUUACAAGCUAAUGAAGCUUUGAUAACUCUGAGCUAAGGUAUGAACAGAACUAAAGAAUGGCCACAGCCCAAAGGAGAUUAUAAAAAUUCUGAAUUGAUAGACAUUCUGUUAGCAUAGGCAAAAAACUACAACAAACAAACAAACAAAAAUAUAAAAAUUCAGAUUGUUGGAGUAAAGUCCAAAAUGCAGAAUGGGAGUUGAAAUGUGACAGAUGUGUGUGUCCUACACCAGACGAAGGGUCUUAGCUUUUACUGACUGAUGCAUCACUUUCAUUUGUACCUGACUGUAUGCAGUUCAGAAGCAGGCUUGCUCAAUUACUUGAGAAUGAAUAUAUCCACUUCCUUAGUAACUUCUGUCUCUUGGUCUGUGCCGGGGACAUUUUCUUACUGUUCUUUGGCCUGAGUUCUUCUGGAAUUUGAAGUAUUUCAUAGUAACCUUAUUUUGGUAUUUGGAUUAUGCAGUGUGUCUCUUUUCAGGGCCUGGGGGCCUACUACUUCCCUUCUCAGUAUAGUGCCUAUAGUUUGGUAUCACAGACGCCUUCCUUAUCUUCCAAUUCAGAGCCCCUUCUUCUAGGCCAGUGGUUCUCAACCUUUCAAGUGCUGUAACCACUUCAUACAGUUCCUCGUGUAGUGGUGGCUCCCACAUAAAAUAAUAAUAUAAUAAUAAUAAUUAUUAUUAUUAUUUUCAAGACUGGAUUUCUCUGUGUAGCCCUGGCUGUCCUGGAACUCACUUUGUAGACCAGGCUGGCCUCGAACUCAGAAAUCCGCCUGCCUCUGCCUCCCUAGUUGUGAGAUUAAAGGCGUGCACCACCACUGCCCGGCCAUAAAAUUAUUUUUAUUGCUACUUCAUAAUUGUAAUUUUGCAAAUGUUAUGAAUCACCAUUAAGUAUCUGAUAUGCAAAUGGUCUUAGGUGACCCCAUGAAAGGGGUCGUUCAACCCUCAAAACCCACAGCUUGAGAAACAGUGCUCUAAGCAUUAGGUUUUUUUUUCUUUCCAUAAAUGGUAUUUCAUUUAUUAAAUGCAAAAGAGGGACAUUAAGCCACUUUCAUUCAUUUUCUCCCAAGCUCUCAAAACUCCUUUCCCUCAUUAAAACAAAACC